rnacentral:rRNA from 1 species
UACCAGCACCCCGAGUGGUCGGGACGAUUAUUGGGCCUAAAGCAUCCGUAGCCGGUUCUGCAAGUCCUCCGUUAAAUCCAGCUGCUCAACAGAUGGGCCGCGGAGGAUACUACAGAGCUAGGAGGCAGGAGAGGCAAGCGGUACUCAGUGGGUAGGGGUAAAAUCCGUUGAUCCAUUGAAGACCACCAGUGGCGAAGGCGGCUUGCCAGAACGCACUCGACGGUGAGGGAUGAAAGCUGGGGGAGCAAACCGG